rnacentral:lncRNA from 1 species
CAUUACACCUGUUCACUUAAAUAUGCAGUAAAAAUGUAUCCGUCUUAUUUUGGAUAUAAGAUAUCAGUUGACCAAACAAGAAAAGAGAGCUUUAUUCAAUUAGACAUUAAAAAGAGGGAAAGUUGUAAAACAAUGCUAAAUUGUAAAGGGAUUGCCUGGGCCACAUACACGUGAAUAUGAUUACCAAUUUAGUUAGUUGGAUUACAUAUACGAAUUGGUAAUGAUGAUGAAAUGUUAUCAAAGCACCGAUUGCUCCACUUAGAUGUUACUCUCGACUUCAUCACUUCUUUUUUAAUCAAUCAUUCUCCUUCGUCCCUUUGACCAUCCCAAUUUCACAAUCAAAUUAAUACAUACAAUAGAAUUAAUGCAUGCACAUCUGCU